UACGUAAGUGGCGAGCGUUAUCCGGAAUUACUGGGCGUAAAGCGCACGUAGGCGGCGAUUCAAGUCAGAGGUGAAAGCCCGGGGCUCAACCCCGGAACUGCCUUUGAAACUAGAUUGCUAGAAUCCUGGAGAGGUUAGUGGAAUUCCGAGUGUAGAGGUGAAAUUCGUAGAUAUUCGGAAGAACACCAGUGGCGAAGGCGACUAACUGGACAGGUAUUGACGCUGAGGUGCGAAAGCGUGGGGAGCAAACAGG
rnacentral:rRNA from 1 species